rnacentral:rRNA from 1 species
UAAGCGGAGGAAAAGAAACUAACUAGGAUUCCCUUAGUAACGGCGAGUGAACCGGGAUGAGCUCAAAUUUAAAAUCUGGCGUCUUUCAGGCGUCCGAGUUGUAAUCUAUAGAGGCGUUUUCCGCGCCGGACCGCGUCCAAGUCUCUUGGAAUAGAGUAUCAAAGAGGGUGACAAUCCCGUACUUGACGCGACAACCGGUGCUCUGUGAUACGUUCUCAAUGAGUCGAGUUGUUUGGGAAUGCAGCUCUAAAUGGGUGGUAAAUUCCAUCUAAGGCUAAAUAUUGGCGAGAGACCGAUAGCGAACAAGUACCGUGAGGGAAAGAUGAAAAGCACUUUGGAAAGAGAGUUAAACAGCACGUGAAAUUGUUAAAAGGGAAACGAUUGAAGUCAGUCGUGUGAAAGGUAUUCAGCCGUCUCUGGCGGUGUAUUUGCCUUUCACGGGUCAACAUCAGUUUGAUCCGGUAGAAAAAGGCGGGAGGAAGGUGGCACCCUCGGGUGUGUUAUAGCCUCCUGUCAUAUGUGCCGGACCAGACUGAGGAACGCAGCUUGCCGCAAGGCCGGGGUUCGCCCACGUACAAGCUUAGGAUGUUGACAUAAUGGCUUUAAACGACCCGUCUUGAAACAC